rnacentral:rRNA from 1 species
AAUCAACGCUGGCGGCGUGCCUCAGACAUGCAAGUCGAACGCGAAAGCCCCCUUCGGGGGGCAAGUAGAGUGGCGCACGGGUGAGUAACACGUAGGUAAUCUACCUUUGGAUGGGGAAUAACAACCGGAAACGGUUGCUAAUACCGCAUAAUGCAGCGGCACCUAAUGGUGACAGUUGUUAAAGCGGGGGAUCGCAAGACCUCGCGUCUGAAGAGGAGCCUGCGGCAGAUUAGCUAGUUGGUAGGGUAACGGCUUACCAAGGCGAUGAUCUGUAGCCGGCCUGAGAGGGCGGUCGGCCACACUGACACUGACAUACGGGUCAGACUCCUACGGGAGGCAGCAGUCGGGAAUUUUGGGCAAUGGGCGAAAGCCUGACCCAGCAACGCCGCGUGAAGGAUGAAAUCCCUCGGGAUGUAAACUUCGCAAGAACGGGAAGAAUAAGUAAGAGCUAACAUCUCUUACGAUGACGGUACUGUUUGUAAGCUCCGGCUAACUCCGUGCCAGC